GGGGUGGUAGUUCAGUUGGUUAGAACGCCUGCCUGUCACGCAGGAGGUCGAGGGUUCAAGUCCCUUCCAUCCCGCCA
rnacentral:tRNA from 3 species